CCAGGAGAAGACAAACAGCAACUCAGGCUGCCAGCCAGUGAAGUCAGAAGACAGCCUUUGUUUUAAACAUGUUGGGCAUGAUUUAAUUCUGCCAUCAUCAGCCAGAUGGAAAACAUGCUGAUAGACUCUGAACGGCCACCAGCAGGAUCAAAGGGCUUUGGGGUCACAAUGUGAUUAGCUGGCACAAGGGCAUCUUUGAUAACUCACCAUAUUAUGAAAAGUUUGUGCAGAAAUCCAGUGUGUAUUGGAGAUAGUGGGACCAUUUCUAUGUUUCACUAAGUAUUCCUGCCAGGUCUGUAGAGUUGGUGGAUGUAGAGAGGAAGGAAUUGCUAUAGUGGAUCAGAGCAGCAGUCCAUCUAUUCCAGUAUCCUCUCUCCAACAGCGGCCAGAACCAGAUGUUUCUGAGACAGCACAAGAACC